rnacentral:rRNA from 1 species
GACAGAGGUGCCAAGCGUUAGGCGGAAUCACUGGGCUUAAAGCGUGUGUAGGCGGAUCGUUAAGUACCUUGUGAAAUCCCACGGCUCAACCGUGGAACUGCUGGGUAUACUGGCGGUCUUGAGCCACCUAGGGGCAACUGGAACAAGCGGUGGAGCGGUGAAAUGCGUAGAUAUCGCUUGGAACGCCAACGGUGAAAACAGGUUGCUGGGGGUGUGCUGACGCUGAGACACGAAAGCCAGGGGAGCAAACGGG